rnacentral:rRNA from 1 species
GACACGACUCUCGGCAAUGGAUAUCUCGGCUCUCGCAUCGAUGAAGAGCGCAGCGAAAUGCGAUACGUGGUGUGAAUUGCAGAAUCCCGUGAACCAUCGAGUCUUUGAACGCAAGUUGCGCCUGAGGCCAGCCGGCUAAAGGCAUGCCCGCCUGGGCGUCAAGC